rnacentral:rRNA from 1 species
ACGGUGGAGACCUAGGCACCCAGAGACGAAGAAGGGCGCAGAUACCGGCGAAACGCUCCGGGGAGUUGGCAACAAACUUUGAUCCGGAGAUCCCCGAAUAGGGCAACCUGUACAACUUCCAACAGAAUUCAUAAGUUGGAAAGAGGCAACCCAGUGAAUUGAAACAUCUUAGUAGCUGGAGGAAAAGAAAGCAAACGCGAUUCCCGUAGUAGCGGCGAGCGAACCGGGAACAGCCUAAACCCAUUUCCAUUAGGGAAUGGGGGUAGUGGGAAGACAUUAUAAUUAUAAAAAAAAUAGAAAAUAAGAGAAAUUAUCGAAUAAAAUUCUUUUACGAGGCGCCCGCAGACAUCGUCGAGGACGACGAGUCUAGGUCGCCUCGUAGAGCUCGCCUCGCAGAGGCGACCUACAGAAUUUUAUUCGAGAAUUCUCGAAGAUUUUCAAUAUCCAUAGGAUAUUGAAAACUUCGAUAAUUUAUAAUCUUUGUUUAUAGAUUUAUUCUCUUUUAGAGUUUUCUAAAAACGAAACAGCUGAAUCCUGUACCAUAGAUGGUGAAAGUCCAGUAGUUGAAAUGAAAAAAAAAGAAAAUGUCUUAUUGUCUUAUCCCGAGUAGCAUGGGACACGUGGAAUCCCGUGUGAAUCAGCGAGGACCACCUCGUAAGGCUAAAUACUCCUGGGUGACCGAUAGCGAAAUAGUACUGUGAAGGAAAGGUGAAAAGAACCCUCGUAUAGGGAGUGAAAUAGAACAUGAAACCGUAAGCUGACAAGCUGUGGGAGGUUAAGAGCUGACCGCGUGCCUGUUGAAGUAUGAGCCGGCGACUUAGAGGGAGUGGCAAAAAGGUUAAGGAGAAACAUCCGGAGCCAACGCGAAAGCGAGUCCGAAAAUUCGGCGAAUAUUUGUCAUUUCCUCUGGACCCGAACCCGGGUGAUCUAAUCAUGACCAACAUGAAGCUUGGGUAACACUAAGUGGAGGUGUGCACCGACCGAUGUUGAAAAAUCGGCGGAUGAGUUGUGAUUAUGUGCAGAAAUUGCAAUCGAACUCGGAGCUAGCUGGAUCUCCCCGAAAUGCGUUGAGGCGCAGCGGCAACGACGAGCUAUCAUAAGGUAAAGCUACUGUUUCGAUGCGGGCUGCGAGAGCGGUACCAAAUCGUGGCAAACUCAGAAUGUAUGAUAUUGCCUACCGUUAGCCAGUGAGACCCAAGGUGAUAAGAUCUUCGGUCAAGAGGGAAACAGCCCAGAUCACCAGCUAAGGCCCCUAAAUGGUUUCUAAGUGGAAAAGGAUGUGAGAGUGCAGAAACAACCAGGAGGUUAGCUCAUUUGGGCUUGCUUAUAGAAAAAACUAUGCUUAUAGGAGUAACUACAAGUGAAAAAAUCGGGUGAAAUGCAAGAAAGCUACCGUGGUUUUAUUAAAACAAUAAAAUUUUUAGGACAAUGGUACGCUAAUUUGCAGCGAAGUUUAUUGAAAGAUCAUUUAAGUAAAUAAAAACGUUCAACGACUAGGUGGUGAGGAGAUCAACCGAUAAGCCACUCACGAGAGCCCGACAACAAAACAGAGAAGUUUGUUGAAAACAUAGUCUGAACUGUACAGAAAUGUGCAGAAGCAAGAGAUAAAAAACUCUUGAUGUGCUUUUUUUAAAGCACAAUCUCUAAACUAAAAAGCACAAACUCUAAUCUUUAAUUUAGAGUCUUUGUACUCUAUUUAGAGUAUUUGUAUGGGCUUGCCCCAUACCAUUAAUAUUACCAUACCAUUAAUAUUAUUUGAAAAUUUAUUAACUAAAAACAAUAAAAAGUAAAAAUUAUGUUAUUAAAUAGUGCACAAUUACGAGGGUUUUUUGAAGGUGACGGUGGAAUUCAAAUACGCGUUGAUAAACGUAAGAAUGGUUUAAGCUUUCGACCGCAAGCUAAAUUUGGGCAAACAACAAAAAAUGCUCAAAUUUUAGAAUGGUGUAAAGAAAGUUUACAAGCUAAUAUUGCAAUGGCUGAAUAUGAUGAAACUGACGCUUCGUGGUUUGUGUUUCCUUUUAACAGUGAUAUUGGUAAAAGAUUUAUUCAAAUGUAUCUAAAAAAUAAACCAGUUAAUCCUGGAACUUUAAAAGAUUUUCUAAUAGCUUUAUUAAUUUAUCAAUAUCAAACGGAGCGUUACAUACCAUUUGAAUCAGAAUCAGCUUAUUUAUUACAAAAUAAGCCUUACGAAGAACGUGAACGUAUAGAGUUUUUAACACUAUUAUGGUUACGUUAUCAACGUUCCGCAUCACGAGAAACAAAAAAAACUCUCCCAAUUUCACAUUAUCACGAGCAUGUUAAUGCAACUCCAGACGAAAUAAGUUCAGCAGAAAGAUUAGGUAACGAACUUUUACUUCCUAUUUCUAUGGAGGUUAAUGAUCUUGUAUCAAAUUUAGAAAAUAAUAAAAUUCAAAUUUGUGCAGAUUAUGUUGCAUACUAUCAUGUAGCUGAUGGCAGUCUUAGCUUUAAUUUUCAUAAACGUCGUUUAGCUGGUGGCAGACAAAACAUAAAAAUUGAUCCACGUUGGACUAUUUCUGAUGAUUUAUUAGCUAAACCCCUUUUAGAGUGUAUUGCAAAACAAUACAACUUCUCUGGGUAUCAGCCAAUGAAUAAUCAAAAUUGUGGUUAUAUUCACGCUAAAGGUUGGGCAAGAGCUAAAGAAGUUGUUAUUCCUUUCUUUAAAGACAAACAACUUCACCUUCCUGAUGUAAUAGCCAACAAAGUUUCAAAUUUUAUUGAGGUUUGUGGAUUACAUUCUAAUCCAAACACUUUUAAAGAUGCACAGCUAUUUCGAUCUUAUGUGCGCAAAGCCUAUUUUUGUAAUCCUGAUAAAGGAAAACGUUCUGAGCAAACGUUUUCAAGAGAUUACGAAAAGCUUAUGGAAAAUUUAAUUUCUGACCGUCAAAUUCAGUGAAAUUAUUAAAAUAAAUUAUUUUAAUUUAGAGAUUAUAACAAAUUGUAGAAGCAGCUAUCCCUUGAAAGAGUGCGUAAUAGCUCACUGGUAAAGCGUUCUUGCGCCGAUAAUGGCCGGGACUAAGAAACCUGCCGAAGCUGUGAGAUUCUUAUAUAAGAAUCGGUAGGGGAGCGUUCUGUUAUUGGGUGAAGUUAUGGUGUAAACCAGAAUGGACAAAACAGAAGUGAGAUUGUUGGCUUGAGUAACGAAAACAUUGGUGAGAAUCCAAUGCCCCGAAAACCGUUGGGUUCCUCCACUAGGUUCGUCCAUGGGGGGUUAGUCAGGUCCUAAGGCUAGGCCGAAAGGCGUCGUCGAUGGAAAACAGGUUAAUAUUCCUGUACUGAUUCUAUUGGGAACAAGGGACGAAGAAGGCUAAACUGAGACUACUAAUGGAUUAUAGUGGAAGCGUCAAGGUGUUGAGAGUUAGAAGAAAAACUAAACUUGAGCUGAGGCGUUAUCCCGAUGACAAUCCUUCGGGGUUGUUGUCGUCAGUGAUGUCAUGCUUCCAAGAAAAGCUUGAGCUCCAUAACAAUAGAAUUACCUGUACCUAAAACCGACACAGGUAGGUGAGUAGAGAAUACUAAGGGGCGCGAGAGAACUCUCUCUAAGGAACUCGGCAAACUGGCCCCGUAACUUCGGAAGAAGGGGCGCCUUUAAUUUCAUUAAAGGUCGCAGUGACCAGGCCCAGGCAACUGUUUAUCAAAAACAUAGGUCUCCGCAAAGUCGAAAGACUAUAUAUGGGGGCUGACGCCUGCCCAGUGCCGGAAGGUUAAGGAAGUUGGUUAGAGAGCUUGUCUCUCGAAGCUGACGACCGAAGCCCCGGUGAACGGCGGCCGUAACUAUAACGGUCCUAAGGUAAGGGUUAACGCUAGCUUUAGUAAAAUCAAGCUAUAUGCUGGAAAUCCUUAAAAUAAACCAUAAACAAAAGAGUUAUUCAAGAUAACCACAGCAAGAAAGACUAAGUAAUAGGGUGGGUUUAACCCAACCCCAAACAACCUAGUAUCCUCAGAGACUACACGCUUGACACUUUUACAUAAGUGAGUAUUAUUAAUCUUCUCUAUUGUCUAUCUUACAAACUAUACAAAUAAAAAAAAAAAUUUAAAUUAUGAAUAAAAACCUAUAUAAAGUUGAACAAAAAAGAGAUACAAAUGACAUCUGUAUACCAAAAUAUGAUAAUUAUGUAAUUCCAACUUUAGACAAAACAGCACCGGCUUCCAAAAUUCUAAAUAGUAAACAAGACUUAAGUGGUAAAAAAUUUACUGUUAAAGAUUCAUUUGGUCGCGAUGUAGUAAUGUCGGCGGAUUGGAUUGCUGGUUUUACAGAUGGUGAAGGAACAUUAACAAUAAAUAUAAACAAAAAUCAAACAUUAACAUAUAAGUUUCAAAUACAACCAGUGUUUAUUAUUGUUCAGGGUGAAGCUGAUUAUUAUUUACUAACAGCUAUUGCGAACUUCUUUGGUUGUGGUUCAGUAACUGUAAAUAGAAAGGAUAAAACUUCAGUACGUUAUCAAUAUCGCGUAAACAAUUUAGAAUUACUAACUAAUAUUUUUAUUCCUUUCUUUGAUAAAGUUUCUUUAUUAACAAAGAAAAAAGAUGAGUAUUUCUUUUGGAAAGAUCUAGUUAUUGAACAUAAAAAUAAAACAAAUCUAGAUUCUUGGCCAAACAGUAUGGUGGCUUUCCUAGAAAAAGCAAAGCUUUGGAAAUGCCAAGGUACACAAACUAAACAAACUGAAUCUUAUAUAGAAACGUGUGAUAAAUAUAUUGAAAUUGUUAAAAGUAUUCCUUCAGAGAACAUAGAAAGAUUAAAAUAACACUUAGAAAGUGAAGAUAGAGUCCAAACUCCAGCAUGAGCUGUGAGACCUAACUCGUAAGGAUUAGGGGGUUUAUCUUAAUAAAGAUAAAUUAUAUUGAGCGAAAUUCAUUGUCGAGUAAGUUUCGACCUGCACGAAAGGUGUAAUGAUCUGGGCGCUGUCUCGGAGAGAGACUCGGUGAAAUAGACAUGUCCGUGAAGAUGCGGACUACCAAUACUAGGACAGAAAGACCCUAUGAAGCUUGACUGUAUCCUGGAAUUGAACUCGGGCUUUUCUUGCGCAGCCUAGGUGGGAGGCGUUGAAGGUCCCCUUCCGGGGGGGCUGGAGCCAUCAUUGAGAGACCACUCUGGAAGAGCUAGAGUUCUAAUGGUGAUCUUUGAAACAAGACACUUGACAGUUUCAGGUGGGCAGUUUUCCUGGGGCGGGAACCUUAAUACAAUGGGGUUGUAUGUAAGUAAUUACAUAUUCAAAAACUGGCUAUAUGCUGGAAGGAACUUAAUAUAAAUUUAAGCGGACAAAUUAGCUUCGCUAAUUUGUCCUUCAGGAAAAAAACCUUUAGGUUUUUUUCCGGUAGUUACGUGAUUAAUUUCCAAUCAGCAGGGAAGUUAAGCAAAAAACGCUUAACCCCUCAACGACUAUAUGCCGGAAGACUCUAAGAAAUUAGAGUUUAUAGUAUAGUCUGAACUGAAGCAAAAAGCUUCAGCUCCCCGUAAAUAAAUUUUAAUAUCUGUAUUAUUCACAUAUACAUAUAAGGGGAGGUUUAUUUCAAAUAGAAAUAAAUGUAACAUCCUUGCCCAAAGCGUAACGGAGGUGUGCAAAGGUUCUCUCAGUCUGGACGGAAAUCAGACAUUGAGUGUAAAGGCAAAAGAGAGCUUGACUGUAAGACCAACAAGUCGAGCAGGGGCGAAAGCCGGCCUUAGUGAUCCGACGGUGCCGUGUGGAAGGGCCGUCGCUCAACGGACAAAAGUUACUCUAGGGAUUAAUGUUAGUCCCAUCUUAGAGAAAUCUAAGAAACAAGAAAAUCGGGUGAAAUGCAAAGAAAGCUUAAAUAACAAAUAUCAAAGUUUUCAAUAUCCUAAGGAUAUUGAAAAUCUUCGAGAAAUGUUAUUAUGCCAAUUUGCAGCGAAGAUUACUCUAACAAAAAGAGUAAUAACGUUCAACGACUAGGAAUGAUAAUUCCCACGAGACCCCGACAGCUUUAAUAAAGUUUCCCUCGGCUCGGCGCUUGUAACACGUAGUGUUACAAGCGCCCCCGUCCCGUGAGGGGGGCGGCCGAAAAGCUGAUGACAUAGUCUGAGCUUACCUUAAAAGGUAAGAAGUAUAGUAUAAACAACUAUACGAUAACAUAUCUGAACAGGCUGAUCUUCCCCAAGAGUUCAUAUCGACGGGAAGGUUUGGCACCUCAUCAUGGGGAGGUUUAUGUGAAAGCAUUAAUCCUUUAUUUAGCUGUAUGCUGGGACAGCCUUAUAUUUCUUUCAUAAGGUCAAUCAGCAGGGAAGUAACUUCAAGUUACCCUUCAACGACUACAUGCUAAACAUCUCUAGAAUAUUUAAAAGAGAUGGUGAUAUAGUCUGAACUUCUAGAAAACUAGAAGAACAAAAAACCAAAUUACAUUUAAAUCAUUAAAAACUAUCGCCCCCCUCACGGGUCGGCGAUAGUUAAUUUUCUAAUAACAUAUUGGUUUUUUUUAACACAAUUGCGAUGUCGGCUCAUCACAUCCUGGAGCGGUAGUACGUUCCAAGGGUUGGGCUGUUCGCCCAUUAAAGUGGUACGUGAGCUGGGUUCAGAACGUCGUGAAGUCUCGCGACUUUGUAAAGUAAUUUACAAAAAAGAAAAACAAUUGCCUCAUAUCGAUGAAGCUCUAAAGUUUAAUAUAUAGAAACUUUUGAUAAUAUCGAGGGAAGUCGAGACCUUUUCUCUUAAAAUAUAGAACGAAUGAUAAAAAUUUUAACAAAAACAUAAAAUAUGAACAAAACAAAUAUGAACAAAGCGAAUAAAAGCUUUCCCGCGAAACGCAAGAACGUUAAAAUCACGAGAGAAAUCCGUGAUAUUAUACAUGGUUAUGUUAUGUCUGAUGGUUAUUUACGUGAAGGUCAGUUAACUGUUGAGCAAAACAGUGAAUCGUCGGCAUUUGUUGAAUGGUUGUAUUCAAAAUUAGAACACCUAACUACACGUAAUGGCAUAAAAGAUGUUCAAAGGUUUGAUAAACGAACUAAUACCACAACUUAUUCCAAACGUUUUUUCACUAGAAGGUUACUUAAAGGUUUUAAUAAAAUGUGGUAUAAAGCCAGUGGUAUCCACAAAAAAACAGGUAAACCUAAGUAUGUUAAGACCGUACCUAAAAGUCUUGGCUGUUUCUUUAGCAAAACCUUUAUAACUGUUUGGUAUGCUGGUGAUGGUACGAAAAUUAUUGGUAGUCGUGGUGCAAAAAUAGAAGCAACUUGUUUCAAUGAAGAACAAAAAUUAUUAAUAAAAGAACUAUUUAAGUCAAAAUACGACAUAAAUAUUCACAUUAAUAAAGCGGGUCUAAGCAAAACUGGUACGCAACAAUGGACUUUUAAUAUUAAUUCUGAAGAUUAUGAUAAAUUUCAUAAUAUUAUUACAGAAAUUGAUCUUCGGCCCCGCCCUAAGUUAUUUCCAAAUAAGCUUUGUUAUUAAUCAUUCUAUAUAUUUUAAAUAGAAUUCCGGUUUUUCGAAGAAAAACCGGAAUCCGACGUUUUGUUAAGACAAAACGUUGAAUAAAUUCGGUCUUUGACCCCGUAACGACUUUGCGUUUAUUCGCAGGAUAGCUAUUACCUUUCUUCUACAAGAUCUUAAUAUAAGAAGUUUAAGAAGAAAAGUUAGCUAUAACACGGCAACUCUUUUAAAUAUUAUUUUAAAAGAUGAAAGUAUAGUCUAGUUCCUUAAGGAAACUUAAGGUAGGUCUAAGAAUAUAUUUGAUAAUUUAUUCUUGGACACAGAGACAGUUUGGUCCAUAUCCGGUAUUGGCGUAAGAGCAUUGAGAGGAGUCUUUCAUAGUACGAGAGGACCUGAAAGAAUGUGCCAAUUGUGUACCAGUUCUCAUUCCAAUGGGAAACGCUGGGUAGCUAUGCACAGAGACGAUAAAAGCUGACAGCAUCUAAGUUUGAAGCUCACCUCAAGAUGAGUGCUCUCUAAUUAGGUCGCGGGAAGAUCACCCGUUUUAUAGGCGUUAGGUCUACAGUCAGUAAUGGCUUGAGCUGAGACGUACUAAAGACCAAUUGAUUUUGAU